GACGAACGCUGGCGGCGUGCUUAACACAUGCAAGUCGAACGGUAAGGCCCUUCGGGGUACACGAGUGGCGAACGGGUGAGUAACACGUGGGUGAUCUGCCCUGCACUUCGGGAUAAGCCUGGGAAACUGGAUCUAAUACCGGAUAGGACUCCUGGCUUCAUGGUUGGGGGUGGAAAGCUUUUGCGGUGUGGGAUGGGCCCGCGGCCUAUCAGCUUGUUGGUGGGGUAAUGGCCUACCAAGGCGACGACGGGUAGCCGGCCUGAGAGGGUGACCGGUCACACUGGGACUGAGAUACGGCCCAGACUCCUACGGGAGGCAGCAGUGGGGAAUAUUGCACAAUGGGCGCAAGCCUGAUGCAGCGACGCCGCGUGAGGGAUGACGGCCUUCGGGUUGUAAACCUCUUUCAGCUAUGACGAAGCGCAAGUGACGGUAGCAGCAGAAGAAGGACCGGCCAACUACGUGCCAGCAGCCGCGGUAA
rnacentral:rRNA from 1 species